GCUCAAUCUGACUCAACGCGUGCACCUCACCAGGCCCGGACGCGCGGAGGACCGACAGCCGGGUGCGCUUUCGCGAUCGCGCGGGCGGUGGUGCAUGGCCGCUCCCAGCCCGUGGCGCGAGCCGUCUGCUCCAUUGCGACAACGAGCGAGACCCCAGCCGCGGAUGCCGCGGGACUGCCCGCGCGGAGCGGGAGGAAGGCGGGCG
rnacentral:rRNA from 1 species